AACGAACGCUGGCGGCAUGCCUAACACAUGCAAGUCGAACGAGACCUUCGGGUCUAGUGGCGCACGGGUGCGUAACGCGUGGGAACCUGCCCUUAGGUUCGGAAUAACUCCCCGAAAGGGGUGCUAAUACCGGAUAAUGUCUUCGGACCAAAGAUUUAUCGCCUUUGGAUGGGCCCGCGUUGGAUUAGCUAGUUGGUAGGGUAAAAGCCUACCAAGGCGACGAUCCAUAGCUGGUCUGAGAGGAUGAUCAGCCACACUGGGACUGAGACACGGCCCAGACUCCUACGGGAAGCAGCAGUGGGGAAUAUUGGACAAUGGGCGAAAGCCUGAUCCAGCAAUGCCGCGUGAGUGAUGAAGGCCUUAGGGUUGUAAAGCUCUUUUAUCCGGGAUGAUAAUGACAGUACCGGGAGAAUAAGCUCCGGCUAACUCCGUG
rnacentral:rRNA from 1 species